UUGUGUGCUGGUGGCUCUGCUUCGGCCUGGGCAGCCUUCUGGCGGGGCAGGCGGAGGCCCCGAGCCCCAUGGAGCCGCCGGAGCGGAGCCGGCCAUACGCCGUGCUGCGUGGGCAGAACCUGGUGUUGAUGGGAACCAUUUUCAGCAUCCUGCUAGUGACCGUGAUCCUUAUGGCAUUUUGUGUCUACAAGCCCAUUCGCCGUCGGUGACAGCUGAGCGACCAAGUUCUUCCACAAGUAUUGGGGGAAAGUAUAAAUUGUGUUGCACAUGGGUCAUUGGAGAAGUUGGAAUUAGAACUUCACCACUUGGAAAUGACCUUCAGUCUGGACAGUUGGUAAAUGUGAAAUGAUUUAGAAAAAACGUCCAUCUGGCAGUUAUUUUUUUCCUAACACUAUAAUGUAAAUAACUGACUCUGCUUCUUGGUGUUUCUUUGUAUAUCUGGCUGCACUUAACGCUUGUUACAAGAAAGACCUGAAGCUACAAGUUUCAGUAUAAAGAUGGGAAAACAGCUAACUAUGUUAGUGGUGGGAAAACCACACUGGAAAGGACUCAUCCCGAAUAUUGGAAAAUACUCAUAAGUGGAAGACUUGACGUGUAGACAUUUCGUACUUGAGAACCAUUUGGUCACAGUGGGGUUAAGAGUCACCCGUGUUUUUAGUUAGAUUGAGCUGGCCUGGAAUGCCCUGGUUGCAAAGCAGUGUCAGUUGUGGGGAACUUAGGCCAUUGGUCCUCGUGCCACAUCUGGGUCUGCACCCAGAUGCCCCUGAUGAAGUCAGGCCACAUUAGCUAGGCCUGUGACCAUGAGCACCCUGGGGCUGGAAGGCUCUGAGUUGGGCUGAUUACUGGUUGGCCCAUCUGAAAAAGAGCUCCAUCCUGCUUAAAUACACCGAGCUCCCUGGGGCUGCGCUCAAGCCUUUCCAGCCCCUGGCCUAAAGCUUGUGGCAGCUUUUCAGAUUUGGAAUCUAAAAGAAACUCAGCAGGAGCUCUUUUUAGCUGUGGGUGGGGAGGUCCUCAACCCACAAAAGUGUGUGUUCAUAGUAGGAGGCUGAGAGGCAGGUGAAUGUGUGUUUACACAGAUUUCAUCUCAACCUUGAAAAUGCUGCUGUUUUGCACUGUUGAAAUGGAUUUUUUUUUCCUGUUGAAAUACUUUCAUACUUACAAAGUGGUUAACAGUAUUUAUUUUAAAGGUGCUACGCUUAAUUUUCUUUGUUACUGAACUGAAAUGCUUGUCUUGUAUUCCAGUCACCUCACUGAUGUGUGUUGUUUUUUGUUGUUUUUUUUUUAACAACCCGCACUAAAUGUGAAAUAACUAACGUAGGAUACUGUGACUGUCGGACAUCAGGAUUUUGUGUGUAACCCUAACAUUGAGCCACUGAAAUGUUCACUGUUUUGUGGUUUUGAGCAAAGUGUCAAUUAAAAUUAAAGUAAAAUCUUACAUGCU